rnacentral:rRNA from 1 species
GACGAACGCUGGCGGCGUGCCUAAUACAUGCAAGUCGAACGCAGUGGGGACGGGUGAGUAACACGUGGGUAACCUCCCAUCAGAGGGGAUAACACUUGGAAACAGGUGCUAAACCGAUACUGAUGGAUGAACCCGCGGUGCAUUAGCUAGUUGGUGAGGUAACGGCUCACCAAGGCCACGAUGCAUAGACAACUUGAGAGGGUGAUCGGCCACACUGGGACUGAGAAACGGUCCCGACUCCUUCGGGAGGCAGUAGUAGGGAAGCUUCGGCAAGGGACGAAAGUCUGACCGGGCAACGCCGCGUGAGGGAAGAAGGCUGUCGGAUCGUAAAACUCUGUUGUUAGAAAAGCGUUAUCUAACCAGAAAGCCAAGGCUAACUACGUGCCAGCAGCCGCGGUAAUAC